GACAAGAGCAAGAUUCUGUCUCAAAAAUAAAAUUUUAAAAGUUCUGCAAUUCUGCAUAAAGAUAAAUGCUAUUUGUUCCUGGGGGCUGGGGUCACCAGGGAGGCUUCCUGGAGGAGGAGGCAGGGCUGAGGAAUGGAUGGCAGCAGAGAGUAUUUGUGGGUGAGGCUAUGGUGCUGCUGGAGAGGCAGGGUGUGGCAGCUUGGGCUGGGGCCAGCAGUGAGCUUGGAAUUCCCCAGGGCUUUCCAGAAGCCAGAAGGCCGGGGCGGAGUGGGUUGUCCAAGAGCUUGUCUUGUCCUCUUGCCCUGGCCACAGCCGGGAAGCCCUGGGCAGGCGCCCGUGGAUAGCUGGCACGCUCAGCCUUUGGUGGAGAACUGAGAAAGUCUGAAGCAGGAAGGUGGAAAAACAUUUCGUGCUCAGGGAGGAAACGUCUUCACCCCGGUUUACAGAUUCCUUGGUGGUCCACAGACCCUGGAGUAAGAAUCUCUGCCCUAGGGGAUGACAGGACUGUAAAAGGAAGGGACCUGGGUCCCUGAAUCACACGGGGGAAGUCACCUGCUGAAUCAGAACGCCUCAACAGCUAGCUAGCCAAGAAAUAAACGGAGAGCGUGGCAACCCACAGA
rnacentral:lncRNA from 1 species